rnacentral:ncRNA from 4 species
ACCUUGGCUCUAGACUGCUUAC